rnacentral:misc_RNA from 1 species
UUUCCGUAGGUGAACCUGCGGAAGGAUCAUUAAUGUAACCGGACCGUUCCUUUGCCGUAAAACGCACUGGAUUGGGAAGGGAGAUAUCAUACACCCUAUGUUUAUUUACUCUUGUUGCUUUGGUGGGCCGUCCUUUACGGCGUCGGCCUCGGCUGAUCGCGCCCGCCAGAGGACUCAAACUCUUUUAUUAGUGAUGUCUGAGUACUAUAUAAUAGUUAAAACUUUCAACAACGGAUCUCUUGGUUCUG